AAUGAGUAAAUGAGGGAGUGAGUGAGUGCCAAAAUUAGCUAUUUUCACAGGGAGAUAUUUCAGGAUCUACCGAAGCCAUAUCUAUUAAAUUUGGUAUACUGCUU